rnacentral:rRNA from 1 species
GAUGAGCGCUGGCGGCGUGCCUAAUACAUGCAAGUCGAGCGAACAGACGAGGAGCUUGCUCCUCUGACGUUAGCGGCGGACGGGUGAGUAACACGUGGGUAACCUACCUAUAAGACUGGGAUAACUUCGGGAAACCGGAGCUAAUACCGGAUAAUAUAUUGAACCGCAUGGUUCAAUAGUGAAAGACGGUUUUGCUGUCACUUAUAGAUGGAUCCGCGCCGCAUUAGCUAGUUGGUAAGGUAACGGCUUACCAAGGCGACGAUGCGUAGCCGACCUGAGAGGGUGAUCGGCCACACUGGAACUGAGACACGGUCCAGACUCCUACGGGAGGCAGCAGUAGGGAAUCUUCCGCAAUGGGCGAAAGCCUGACGGAGCAACGCCGCGUGAGUGAUGAAGGUCUUCGGAUCGUAAAACUCUGUUAUUAGGGAAGAACAAAUGUGUAAGUAACUAUGCACGUCUUGACGGUACCUAAUCAGAAAGCCACGGCUAACUACGUG